rnacentral:rRNA from 1 species
UACGGAGGGCGCAAGCGUUGUCCGGAAUUAUUGGGCGUAAAGAGCUCGUAGGCGGCCAGUUGCGUCCGCUGUGAAAUCCCGGGGCUUAACCCCGGGCGUGCAGUGGAUACGGGCUGGCUGGAGGCAGGCAGGGGAGAACGGAAUUCCUGGUGUAGCGGUGAAAUGCGCAGAUAUCAGGAGGAACACCGGUGGCGAAGGCGGUUCUCUGGGCCUGUACUGACGCUGAGGAGCGAAAGCGUGGGGAGCGAACAGG